GCCCAUGAAAACCCUCCAGACACUUCAGUUGGUCUAGGAAAUGGCCGCUGCAUAAGGCCAGUAGAACAAGACAAUGUUCGUACUUUAUUCAGUUACAAGCAUCAUUGCUUUCCCAUUUAUGAGUUCAAUUUGAGGCGAUUUAAAGUUUUAAAGCCUCAAGGAGCCUUUGAACAGCUACCUCAGGCAUAGUUCACCUCCUGUGCUGAGGUGUCUGAGGCCUCAGCUGUGGUGCUCAGAAGAUUCUGGAACAUUCUCCUCAUAAAUGUGCCCCUGGACCAAUUAUUCCCUCUUCCCCUUCCAGCAAACAGUAAGACUUUUAUUCCAGCAUGCCGUUAGUUAAAUUAGCGUGUGAACUGUCCACAUUUUAAUAAAUUUGUUUAUUCGUAGUUUAGUGGCCUGCCUUGAGUACAGCUUCGGAAAACUUGCCCAAACCUUAUUGUGCUAUAAAAAUAAUCUGCGGGUGUUGUUUUCCUCUGAUGAUUCUUCAGGCGCUCAUUACAGGGCUGAAGAAAACAUGCAGGUGAAAGGCUCCCUGUAUUAUUUAGAAACCUAGAAAAAGCAUUAUAAACUGCCAUGAGGAAGCUCCUUGACUAGUGAGCAUCCUCACUACCCAAAUUCACUCUCCACAAGUCUGAGGGCAACAAAAACAGCCCUCAUCCCCACUUUCCCCCCUCAUGAGGUAAUACCUAAGAGAUCUUGUAAAGUGUUUCUGACUGCAGGGAGGUUUCUGUGCACAUGAAACCAACAUAUUUGGAGACCUAUUUCAGGCCUGUUCAAAGGUCUAAAGAGAAGCCUAUUUGCCUGGGGACAUAGGAGUGGGGGGCAGUUGCUGUUAAAUUUAACACUAACUCACUGGCUCACCCUCAUUGCAUUGAGUUAGAUGUGUGAGAUAUGUGUGCAUACAUAACCGAAAACCUUUUAAAAAGUGUAUCAAGUGCUUCCCCCUGCUUUCCUCACAAUUUAUUCUGUCUUUUCUAAAUCACAAUUUAUUCUGUCUCUUUUAAAUUGCUAAGUACUGCAGCUUGCCAACUGCAUUUCCUCCCCUUCACAGAUUCUCUAUUUUAGCACUUACUUUUGUAUCUUUCAACUUUUAUUUCCCAACUUUCAAGAACUGCUGCUAUCCGAGCUUCAACACUAUUAUCCAGACUUUUCUAACUGCCAGUACCUUAUUUCCUUUCCACUCUUCUUUCCCGAUAUGUGUGAUGUUUUGAUCCGUGUUCCUUCUCUAAUUUUGCUCUCCCUUAUUUAUAUGGCUUUUGAAAGGGGCUUUUCUGCUGCUACGUCAGUCCCUCUCAGCAAUUUUCCCUGUGAGUGUUCAUUGCAGGAUCGCGGCUCCUCAUGCAUGCAGCUUCCAAGCAACGUUGUCAUCAAAACUCCACGCUGCAUUUGCCUCUUAUUUAGGGUGCUUCCAGACUGUCAACUGUUUCCAGGUAAGAUUCAGUCACAUACUGGCAAAUGCAGGUUUUGCAGCUAGUUGGGUGGGAGGUAUUGUGCAACAAACCUCACCUUCUUCCCCCCCACCGCCCCACCAUAAAAAUUGUACUUUCUUGUUUGCUGUGAGACAUAAGUGGAAGAUGCAUGGGAAAUCCUAGGAGUUGAGGAGGGAAACUAUUGUGAACUCUGCCAGUGGACUCUGCAUGAGGCCGAGUUAAGCAGCUUUCCCUGUAGCCUCAACACAAAGUUGGUAUUUACCCUUGCCUCUCUGCAGUACAGCAGUCCUAAAACACUCAUUUCUGAUGCAGGCAGUUCAAUUCCUGUGUGUCAGUAUUGCUCAGCUAACCUUCAGGUAGGCCAAAGUUGUGAUGUGUUGUCACAAUGUAAGGCACACUGUACUUUUUAGCAGAGCAUCCAAUAACCACCACGACCCCACCCAGUAAUCUGUUAUUGGUGAGGACCCUUUUAAUUCUAUUUCCUAAAGGAGUGGCCCCUGAGCUUUCCCCCUCAUGAACCACUUGAAAAUUGCCAGGGGGGGAGGCACUUAAUGAUUUCUCUGGCUGCCGUAGCCAUUGUAAUUCCAUAGAAUUCAAAUUGGAAUACAAGAAAAUACAAGAAACAAAAGCACUAAAAAUGCAAUUUAAAAACAAUUCAGUCUGCUAAGGUGUGUCAUCUCCUGUUUUCAACCAUGAAUUCACAGUCAGUUUAGAACCUCUGUUCUAAAGAAUAUGUAAUUUUUCUUUUAUAUCUGUUGAAGUGAAUUUAAAAGUGGAACCUGGACAUGGCAUUAUUAUUUUCAACUAGAGAACAGUGUAUUGUACACAAACUUAUAUCGCAGAGCAGUUCGUACCAGCCCAAUCAAUGCUUAAAAUAUGUUCCUUUUCCUCCAAGUUCCCACUUGUAUUUUACUCUUACUGAAUAAUACAUUUUAGACACUUGUCUUGCUUUGCAAAGAUUGUAUAUGGCAGGCGGAACUUUAUAGAGUAUUAUUUCUGUCUGAAGUCACACCUCAGCAACUAAAUUCCUGAAUCUUCAGAAAGGUACUUAAUAAAAUAUAUUUUACUUCAAAGUGUAAUGUAAACUGUUAUGCUACAACCCAUGAAGAAAGUUGUGAAGAGAAGGCAAAGGUAUAUCUAAAGCCUUUUAUUGCUGCACAUACUUAAUUAUUCUUAGGAUAUUUCAAAAGAUUAGACAAUUUCCACACCACUUUUUUAAAGCUCGUUCAACGUGUUUGUGUGUGUGUAUAUGCUUAGCAGCUGAAAGCCAGCAUUAUAUAAGUGAGGCUAUACAAUAUACAAGUUGUAGAAGCUGAAAUAACUUUUCCACAGAAGGCAGCGUAAGCACCUGUGUGAACAUAUGUUAGGAAGCAUGUUGAAUUGGGAAACAACAGUAGCAAUAAAAAAAUUCUCUCCAUACACCUAUUAAUUGCUGCUCAGGUUUAAGCACUUUCAGCUAGAGACAGCCAACAGAAUGAGACUUUUUAGCAGCUAUAUUACAGAGGAUCACCCAGCCUGAUCACCAUGUACUCUGGACUUGAAGAGGACUGAUUAGAAAACAGCUUGAGGAUCCACUGGGUGAGAACCCAUGGAGAUCCUGUGAUCAGAAACACUCAAAAGAGAAGGGAGUCCAAGAUGGAUGGGAGUUUAAUCUUAAAGGUGAAAUAUUGAAAGCACAAAUGUGGACAAUUCUAACAAGAAAGAAAAGUGGGAGGCAUCUAUAGAAACCAGUGUACAGUAGCUGCAUAAAAAGCUUACAGAUGAGCUGAGAUUUAAGGGCAUGUGCAAUAAAUGGAAGGGGAAAUUACAAAGGAACAAUAUACAAUUGCUCAACACCUACUUUGCCUCUGUCUUCACCCAAAAGAAAAGUGAUGCCCAACCUGGUCAUAACAGAAUAAAUUAUCUAAGGAGGCAGCUCCAGCCCAAGAUAGGCAAAGAGGUAGUAAGGGAACACCUAGCUACUUUAAAUGAACUCAAAUCUCCAGGCAUGAGGAGCUGCCCGUAGGUUUGCAGGUGUAGUAUCAGAGCCUCUGUUUAUAUUUGACCAUGCAGACUGGAGGCAGUCAAACAUUGUCUGCAUAUUUGAAAAGCAGGGAAAAGAUGACCCAGGUAACUACCAAAUGGUCAGCUUGACAUUGAUACCAGGAAAGUGUUGGGAAAUAACUGGGAAAUACCAACACAGGUUAAAAAGAGCCAGACUCCUUCCACUUAGUCAAAAGAAUUUAUUAGAAAAUAUUCUGAACUACAUAAAACUCUUUAGAAUAUUGUUUCAGUAGACUUUUAUUCCAGCCUUAUGCUACAGACAUCACACAGCCUGGACUUAAAUCAGCCACUGUGCUCCUGAUUUGUUUUUGUUUUUUUAUUUUUGUAGUUUUGUAAAAAAAGAAAAAGAAAGAGACAUAUUUAAGCCACAUGCACACGGAAAGACUGGAUGGAGUGCUCAGUGCACCUGCCUCUCCCCCUUAAUACAAUUUCAUGAUGUUCUAAUCUUACCAAUUUUCUCACAGUAAUUUCAGUCCAUUGGGUUUGCUUCUGCAUUAUUGAAACUCUUGAAAAACGACAACACCAAGAGAUUAACAAGAUAUCAGUCAGCAGCUACAGGCCUACAGAACUCUCUCUUGAAGGCUGACCCCUACGCAUCUCCACUCGAGCUCUUUCUGAAUUAGUUCAAUGGGCCUUACUCCCCUGUAAGUGUGUGUAGGACUGCAGCCUUAAUGUAUCAAAGAAAUGCCCGUGUAUCUAAGAGCACAUGUUUUCUCAAGUGUCUUCAGAUGAAAGCAAGCCCGGCUGAUUUUCCCAGAGCAACAGAAUCGGCAGGCCAUUCCAGUUAUACAUGCGCUUCACACCAGUGGAUAAGUAGCACUUCAUUUCAGCAUCGGCACACCAGUCACUGGUGGGUGGGCGAGGCCAGAUGCAGUCAGUUUGCCUGCAGUCAACCAAGUGACUGGCACCAUAAAUGCUUAGAGCACUAACACAACAAUCAGAGCUAUGGUUCCAGUUGCUCAUCCAGCCACGGGAUACACUCUAAGCCACACAACAC
rnacentral:lncRNA from 1 species